GGGCGAGCAGCGCGCCGUGGGCAGGCAUCCCAAAUCCGCCUCUUCUCCAGCUCCAUCCUGCCAUCCCUCACUCUUCCUCGCCUCCUCUCUCCUCUCCCCCGCCUGUGAAACAAGAAGGCUUUGUCUGCUCGCCCCGUUCGGAGCAGCACAAACGGCCUGAACUUUCCCUGAGUGAGUUUUUCCCCUCCAGCAGGAUUUUGUGCUGUGCCGAUGCCAGGGAUUAACUAAGAGCAUGACUCAACCAACCAGUUCAGACCAAGCAAGAACAACUCUUCGUUUUUCUUCCAAGGCUCUGGCUCAGCCCAGCACAGGCUGUUCUGGAGCAUCAGAAAAGGGUAGUUAACUUGAAAUAUGACUUUUUAAAUCCUUUAUUACUUUUCCUGUUCUUUGUGUUGCAGCUGGUAUGGGAGGAUGAUGGGAAUGCAAUCAAGGAGACCAUUCCAAGGUAGUUUUUCCCUACAUUUUCUGUCUGAUUUCAAGGUUUCCCUGUGAGACCCUGGCAUGUAUUUGACAGAAGUGACAUGAGCAGGGGAUGGAUAUGAACAUUUUCAGGAAGGAUGAGAUCCCCAGAAUCUCCAUAGAUCCACAGAACCAUGGAAUCGUAAAGAAAAGACAUCUAAGGUCGUUGAGUCCAGUCUUAACCUAGAAUUAAAUCCACCACUAAACCCCAUCCCAUGGCUGGGCAGGGUCGCACUGGGGGCUGGAGCUGCCCUUUGGGAUCGAAGCUGCCAUUUUCAUGGGAAGCACCAUCAGUGUUGUGUUUUUCCUUGCUGUCCUAGAGCUGCUUCCAAGCCUGAGAGUCCCAAUGCUGCCAGGAGCUCACCAGGAACAACCUGCACUGCUGAGGAUUGUCCAGGGGAAAGAGCCAGACCAGUUCAGGAUUGCGCCAGACCUGCGAGGGCAACCCAGGGAGAACAGCUCCAAAGCACCGUGGAGGUGGGAAAUCACCUCCUCAUCCACCUGCAACAGGCUCCAGAGUCAGGAGUGUCCCGAGGGGAGCUCUGGAAAAAGUCUCCUGAAGGAAACUUUCUGCUUCCAAACAACCAGCGCUUUCUGUUCAGCAGUGACCUCAGUGGGAAGAAAAAUUGCUGCACAAAAGGGAUGGGGAGCUGAUGCCAGGAGCAAAACCUCGGCGCUCGUCCCACGAGCAGUUCUGGGUGGGACCAGACAAAGCGUUCUUCAGAGCUUUUGUAAAAGUAGUGGAAUAAAAAUCCAGAUCAAAAAUCUGGGGUGGGUUUUUUGGGUUUUUUUGUGGAGCUUUGAGGUUUUGUUGUUGUUGUUUGGGUUCUUUUUGGUUUUGGGGUUUUUUUUUUGUUGUUGUUGUUGUUGUUGUUGGGGUUUUUUUGAGAACUCUAGAGCACAGUUGGUUUGGACCCCCUACACCAGAACCUUCCCAGCUUCCUGGCUUGACCUUUACAGCAAUAGCAUCCAGAUCUUUUCCAUUUCUUCAUCUCUCUGGGCUCCUUUUGCUCACUCAUGUUAACUGGAAAAGCAGUACCACAAUAAAUAAACCCUGCAAGAAUCCUGAGGGCCUCA
rnacentral:lncRNA from 1 species